GCCCCGUAUGGGAAAACAAAGAGAGACGAGCAGUAUCCAAAGUACCACGAGACACGAGAAACCUUGUGGGAAGUCGGGGGGACCACCCCCCAAGGCUAAAUACUCCUUAGUGACCGAUAGCGCAUAGUACUGUGAAGGAAAGGUGAAAAGGACCCCGGGAGGGGAGUGAAAGAGAACCUGAAACCCUAUGUUUACAAGCUGUGGGAGCGCGCAAGCGCAACCGCGUACUUUUUGUAGAACGGUCCGGCGAGUUGCCGGUGCUGGCAAGGUUAAGCGAUCAAGUCGUGGAGCCGCAGGGAAACCAAGCCUAAAUAGGGCCAAAGUCAGCACAGGCAGACCCGAAACCGGGUGAUCUACCCAUGUCCAGGAUGAAGCGGGAGUAAAAUCCCGUGGAGGUCCGAACGCACAUCCGUUGAAAAGGGUGGCGAUGAGGUGUGGGUAGGGGAGAAAUUCCAAUCGAACCCGGAGAUAGCUGGUUCUCCUCGAAAUAGCUUUAGGGCUAGCCUCGGUGCAAUCUGCUGGAGGUAGGGCACUGAAUUCCCGCGGGGGCGUCAAAGCCUACCAAAGGAUAUCAAACUGCGAAUGCCAGACAGAUGGUCACCGGGAGUCAGACCACACGAGAUAAGUUGGGUGGUCAAAAGGGAAAGAGCCCAGACCUGCAGCUAAGGUCCCAAAGUGCGUGUUAAGUGGAAAAGGAUGUGGGAUCUCGAAGACAACUAGGAUGUUGGCUCAGAAGCAGCCAUACAUUCAAAGAGUGCGUAAUAGCUCACUAGUCGAGAGGUCCUGCGCCGAAAAUGAACCGGGGCUAAACACGACACCGAAGCUCAGGAAUCCGAAAGGAUUGGUAGAGGAGCAUUGCUGAAGCGACGAAGCAGUACCGAAAGGAGCUGUGGAGUUUCAGGAAGAGAGAAUGCCGGAAUGAGUAGCGAGAGAAAGGUGAGAAUCCUUUCGGCCGAAUAUCCAAGGUUUCCAGGGUAAAGCUGAUCUGCCCUGGGUAAGUCGGGGCCUAAGGCGAGGCAGAAAUGCGUAGUCGAUGGACAGCAGGUUGAGAUUCCUGCACCCGUAAUGAACAGAACUGUAGUGACACGGAAGGUAAGACAGAGCCGGGAAUGAGAAAACCGGUGCAAGCACAAUAGAUGUGCGGGAGGAAAAACCCCCGCAUAAGUCGAAGGUGUGAUGCGGACCGAAAAAGAGUAGGGAAGCUGUUAAGCAAGCCGUCAAGAAAAGCUGCUAUUGUUUCAUUAUGGCCCGUACCGUAAACCGACACAGGUGGAUGG
rnacentral:ncRNA from 1 species